rnacentral:rRNA from 1 species
GGGUGAGUAACGCGUGAGAAUCUGCCCUUAGGAGGGGGACAACGGUUGGAAACGACCGCUAAGACCCCAUAUGCCGAGAGGUGAAACAAAUUUUGCCUGAGGAUGAGCUCGCGUCCGAUUAGCUAGUUGGUGAGGUAAGAGCUUACCAAGGCGACGAUCGGUAGCUGGUCUGAGAGGAUGAUCAGCCACACUGGGACUGAGACACGGCCCAGACUCCUACGGGAGGCAGCAGUGGGGAAUUUUCCGCAAUGGGCGAAAGCCUGACGGAGCAAGACCGCGUGAGGGAGGAAGGCCUACUGGUUGUAAACCUCUUUUGACAGGGAAGAACACAAUGACGGUACCUGUCGAAUCAGCCUCGGCUAACUCCGUGCCAGCAGCCGCGGUAAUACGGAGGAGGCAAGCGUUAUCCGGAAUUAUUGGGCGUAAAGCGUCCGUAGGUGGUUUGUCAAGUCAGUUGUUAAAGCGUGGAGCUUAACUCCAUAAGGGCAAUUGAAACUGACAGGCUAGAGUGCGAUAGGGGC